CCCGCUGGAAACUAAGCAUAUCAAUAAGCGGAGGAAAAGAAACCAACAGGGAUUGCCCUAGUAACGGCGAGUGAAGCGGCAACAGCUCAAAUUUGAAAUCUGGCUCUUUCAGAGUCCGAGUUGUAAUUUGCAGAGGGCGCUUUGGCUUUGGCAGCGGUCCAAGUUCCUUGGAACAGGACGUCACAGAGGGUGAGAAUCCCGUACGUGGUCGCUAGCUAUUGCCGUGUAAAGCCCCUUCGACGAGUCGAGUUGUUUGGGAAUGCAGCUCUAAAUGGGAGGUAAAUUUCUUCUAAAGCUAAAUAUUGGCCAGAGACCGAUAGCGCACAAGUAGAGUGAUCGAAAGAUGAAAAGCACUUUGGAAAGAGAGUCAAACAGCACGUGAAAUUGUUGAAAGGGAAGCGCUUGCAGCCAGACUUGCUUGCAGUUGCUCAUCCGGGCUUUUGCCCGGUGCACUCUUCUGCAGGCAGGCCAGCAUCAGUUUGGGCGGUGGGAUAAAGGUCUCUGACACGUUCCUUCCUUCGGGUUGGCCAUAUAGGGGAGACGUCAUACCACCAGCCUGGACUGAGGUCCGCGCAUCUGCUAGGAUGCUGGCGUAAUGGCUGUAAGCGGCCCGUCUUGAAACACGGACCAAGGAGUCUAACAUCUAUGCGAGUGUUUGGGUGUCAAGCCCGAGCGCGUAAUGAAAGUGAACGGAGGUGGGAACCCGCAAGGGUGCACCAUCGACCGAUCCUGAAGUUUACGGAAGGAUUUGAGUAAGAGCAUGGCUGUUGGGACCCGAAAGAUGGUGAACUAUGCUUGAAUAGGGUGAAGCCAGAGGAAACUCUGGUGGAGGCUCGCAGCGGUUCUGACGUGCAAAUCGAUCGUCAAAUUUGGGCAUAGGGGCGAAAGACUAAUCGAAC
rnacentral:rRNA from 1 species